CACCAGAAUCAAUGAACUCUGCAAAGAUCCUGGACUCCUUCUCCUGCUGCAUAAUAAAGGAAGUGAAAUUCUGCUUCAUCAAUGAAUAACAGGAUUUUAUAUAAAACUUUGAAUGACAUAGGAGGGACAAUUUGCAUAGACCAACAAGUCCUCAAACUGGCCACAAGCUGUCUGCACUGUUAGUUGAGGAUUUCCAAAAUGCCAGAAGGUGCACUAACAGCUGUAGCUACUUGAGUCAACAAGAAACUUCUGUACUUUUUCUCUCAAGGUCAUACAGCCCUGAAUCUGAUAGCAACACAGCUUCAGCAAUAACAGCAGAUGCCAUCUUAGAUUAAUAUGGAUUUUGGAAACACAGUGGAACAACGUUUGCUGUCCUCCCUGCUGGAUUAUAGUUACGGGAAAUUGCCAUGCUUCAAGGGCAGUUGCACAACCUGGAGGCUGGCAUCAUGGGGUCAUUUGGGAUUGAAUCUGAAGGAGCCGCUGUGGUGGAAAUGAAAUCCCUGCACAAAAGAAGCUGAGGCUGAACUAUCAUAUUGUCCUGGAAGUAGUGGUAGGAAAGAGAUAUUUAUUUUCGGGACCCAGUACCUCUGAACACUUAUUUUAGCUGUUUACUGCAGCUAUGCUUUCUUGAAAGAGAUAUGCAGGAAGGAUGGAAAAGUGUCUAUUAGCCUUUUAAUUUUCUCUUCUGAUAAAUUCCAAAAACUGUUUUUUUUUUCAACUAAUAUAUGCAAUUAGCAUCGUUCACUUAGCUUCUCAGCUUACUUAGUGGACUUUUUCACUACAAAAAUAAUCAUAUCAAAAUUUAAUUUAUGAACAAUAAUUUGCUCCAUUUAAGUGUACAGUUCUGAAUUUUCACAAAUGUUUACACCCAUGUAACAAUUGCCAUGUUCAAAAUAGAAGGAGACUAUUUACAUCACCCCCACCCCUGCCCCGCAACAAAAUCUCUAUGCUCCUUCUCUGUCUAUUCUUCCUUCCCAGAACAUCUUAGCAAAUGCUGAUAAUGAUUUCUAUCACUAUGGAUAAAAUUAGUCUUUUCCUGAGUUUUCAUAGGUUUUUCUCGUCUGUUUCUUCCCCUGAACGUUUGCAUUUAUAUCUAUGUUUUCUAUUUUUUAUUACAUUUUAAAAAAUAUUUAAUGUAUACUCAGUUUAAGAAUUAAUUAUUGAAAUUUAUUCCUUCUUCCCAAACAGUAAAGUAACAUAAAAUUAUUUAGCUCUGCACACAGUAUUUCAAAUGUAGAUAAUAUUAGGUCAAGCAUUUUUUUUUUUUUUUUUGGUAAAUCUUACUAUUUUAAACCUCCUUCUUAGUAUUGUUAUUGUUGUUAUUUUAUAUUUAGUCAGUGAUAGAAUUUCUAAAUAUUUUUCAUCUUGCUUUUUUUCAUUAUUUCUUGCCUUGCAGACCUUCUUUCUGGGCUCAAAGCCUUCCUACCUAAAUCACAACUUUUAGAAUUUCUUUUAGUAGAGGCCUUUUGAUUAAAAAGAAAUUGUUUUUGAAAAUGUUUUUAUUUUAUCACUGCUUUUAACAGAUAGUUGAGCAUGGCAUAUGAUUUGUGAUUGACAGUUACUUUCCUUGAAAAUUGAAAACAUUUUUCCAUUGUCUAAUAGCCUCUAUUUUUAUGGUAAAAUACCUCUCAAUAAAAUCAUCAUUUCUCCAUAGAAAAACUUUUCUUUGCUCCCUCAGGUGCUUUUAUAAUCUUUGGCCUGCAAUGUUAUUUGAAGUGUGAAUGUCUUCUAAUUUUUCUGACUCAAUGUCAUUGGCUUUCCUGAGUAUGAAGAUUAAGGUUUAUCACCAGUUUGAAGAAAUGCUUAGUGAUUUUUAAAAAUCUACCCAGGUAUAUCAUAGAUCUUCUAGCCUAUGUGUCUCAUAAAAAUCCCUUUUCUUUAUUUAUCUCCCUUGCAUUCUGAAUAAUUUUGUCAAUUCUACUUACUAGUCCAUUAUUAUUUUAUUCCUUGAUGUCAAAUAUAAUGUUCUACCCAUGAUAUGCAUCUUUAAUUUCAAUACUAUAUUUCUGGAAGUUCUAUUUAAUUCUGUUUUGAGACCUCUAGCUAAGUUUUAAUACCUGUUUAUUUUUCACUUAUUUUUAUUUCUUUAAAUAUAUUUAAAUAUAUUAAACAUACAAUAUUCUG